CGAGAAAGCCCGCAAGGGUGAGUACAGCGGCGCACGGGUGCGUAACACGUGGGUAAUCUGCCCUGGAGUCCGGAAUAACUCGCCGAAAGGCGUGCUAAUGCCGGAUGAGACCACGGGGGCCUCGGCCCCUGCGGGAAAAGGUGGCCUCUGCAUGCAAGCUAUCACUUCAGGAUGAGCCCGCGGCCCAUCAGCUCGUUGGCGGGGUAACGGCCCACCAAGGCUACGACGGGUAGCUGGUCUGAGAGGACGAUCAGCCACACUGGAACUGAGGCACGGUCCAGACUCCUACGGGAGGCAGCAGUGGGGAAUCUUGCGCAAUGGGCGAAAGCCUGACGCAGCAACGCCGCGUGUGUGAUGAAGGUCUUCGGAUCGUAAAGCACUGUCGCGAGGGACG
rnacentral:rRNA from 1 species